rnacentral:rRNA from 1 species
UACGUAGGGUGCAAGCGUUAAUCGGAAUUACUGGGCGUAAAGCGUGCGCAGGCGGUUGUGCAAGACAGAUGUGAAAUCCCCGGGCUCAACCUGGGAAUUGCGAUGGAGACUGCAAGGCUAGAAUCUGGCAGAGGGGGGUAGAAUUCCACGUGUAGCAGUGAAAUGCGUAGAGAUGUGGAGGAACACCGAUGGCGAAGGCAAUCCCCUGGACCUGUACUGACGCUCAUGCACGAAAGCGUGGGGAGCAAACAGG